AAAAAUAAUUGGAAAACUAAAUAUAACAUCAUUAGUAAAACUUUUGAUUUUGUAAACAGGAUAAAUAAAAUAUACUAAAUAAAAAUGAAUAAAGGGAAAUAUUUUUGAAGUGGUAAGAAAAGAUAAAUUAGAUUUACCUACAGCACCGUAACUAUCUCCAAAAUACAAUAGUGAAAAAUUAAUAAUUAGAAUGAUAUGCAGCAACAUAUACUUUGAAACAUAUUUAAAAAAUCCUACAUAUUUUUCAAAUAUUUAUAAAAACAUAAAUUUAUACAAGAUAGAGCAGAAGGACAUAUAUUAUUAAAUAUACUAGCAUAUCUAUAAGAUUUGAGAAUGGGAAAAACAGAAAUCAAAAGAUAUAAAUGAAACAGCCAAGAGAGUGUUCUGUAAUUGCUGACCCUGAUUCACAGUUCCUUCUGGCACAAAAGUAGAAUCUAUUUCCUGCUCUCUUGUGCAGUUAGGUGUGGCCAAAUGAUAUUAGUCUUACAAUGGAAUGUAGGUAGAAGGAAUAUAUGUUAUUUCCAGGACAGACUACUUAGUAAGGAAAACUAAUAGAUACCAAGGAUAGACCAGAUCCUACUCAGGGUCAUAAAAAAACCUUCACAAAUUUCAUAUAUAUAUAUAUACUUGCACACACACACUUAUUGAUUUCUAGUUGGUUCCAUUAUUAAAUGUGUGUGUGUGUGUGUGUGUACAGAAAGAUACCCAAAGUAUCUCAAAACAGUGGAAAAUGAUAAGCAACACAUUUCUAAAUAAUGCAGUUGCCAAAAAUGAAGUUUCAAAGGAAAUUAAAAAAUAUACUGAAGUGAAUGAAAAUACAAUAUAUAUAAAGUGACUGAUGUGAAGCUAAAGCAAUGCUUGCAGAGAUAUUUACAGCAUUAAAUACUUAGAAAG
rnacentral:lncRNA from 1 species